GUUAACAUACUCAAUCAUUUCCCAGUUUUCCGAUGAUUGGCUGUAUGCAGUCCUGCGACAAUGGCAAAACACAGAAAUCUGGUGUAUUUCAUCUACGUGAACCCUGGUGUUACGUUUCAUGGCACUUGGAAAUAAUGUGUUUUACAAAGGCUGGACAUGCAACUGAGUAUGUGUUCAUUGUGCGAGUUGUUUUUUUCUAAGGCUGUCAUAGAGUGAGACAUGUCCAGAAUCACCAAAGCCUUUUGCGACAAGCACCCAGUGAUCUUUACCAUUGUGUACUAGCUGAAGCCAUUGUUCUCCAGUUGCAACUGGGAACUCAAGAGCGCCUCCAAUGGUACAGCAAAACAACCCACCAAUGGUUGGGUGUUGCUGUUUAAGAAGAACUUGAGCGUAGUUAAUUUGUCCUGAAGUAAGCUGGCUAGUAUUUGUAAUUGGUUGAAGGUUCUCCAAAAACAGCAUGGGCUCAUCCACACCCUUUCGUCUACGUUUAACAGGCUCGUAUUCCUGCUUUGUCAAAGCAGGUUCCACGCAAAUAAUUGAAGAAUCGUUAGCGGGGAUGAUCGGUGUUGACGAUGGAUGGUUUACAUCCGCAAUAGAAGCGAUACGGUCAUCCGGAGCAUAAAAGUUGCCUUCUUCUUGUCGAAUGGCAUUUCCUUUCAACAGCACGGGGUCAUCACCACACUUUCGCAUACGUUUAACAGGCUCGUGUUCCUGCUUUGUUAAAGCAGGUUUCACGCAGAUCAUUGAAGAAUCGUUAGCGGGGCUGAUCGGUGGUGAUGAUGGAUGGUUCACAUCUGCAAUCGAAGCGAUACGGUCAUCAGCAGCAUAGAAGUUGUCUUCUUCUUGUCGAAUGGCAUUUUAUUCGUCCAAUAACUCUUUGGCCACUGAGCUGAUAGGCUCAACACGAGCUUUCUUCACUUGCUUGUGAAAAGAAUGAAAAUAACCUUUAUUUUCCUUCGGCCGCCCUCUUUUCUUCACUUCCACUGGAUGGUGGAGUGAUGACCAUUGAUGAGGCAAAGUCUGAUAAAAUCAAAAAUGAUUAAUCACCUAUAAGUUCCAAAUCAAAUUAAUUUUACCUUUUCCUCGAUUGUAGUAGUAGUAAACGGCUUUAGAGGAUCAGACGAAGCAUGGAUUUUCGGUUCAAUUUCGCCGGAAUCAACAGUACUACUUGAAGCCAGAUUAUUGCUUUGUGCAUCAUUCGCCUGAUGUACUAGCCUUACUGGCUUAUUCAUUUUGACCAAGUCGUGGAUGUUUAUGAAAAGCUGCAGUUUGUCCUGGAAAUCAGGUUCAGACAAAAUACUUAGUGUAUUGGCCAGUUUCUUGAAGAGAUCUGAAGCCAUGUUGUAUUGUUCCCUCUCCAUCUUUGGCAUUCUGUGUCUUUUAGACGUCUGUACCCUAGUAGGAGACGUAACGCUAGGCGUAACAAUUGCGUCGUCCUAAAAAAGUUAAGUAAUCAGAUCUUCUUUGUUAUUAUUUCUUUCGAAGAUAACUCAAGUUUUAUACUCUACCUCUAGGCACUGGUUUCUCCAAUGAUGCGAAAAGGCUCCUGCCGGGAUUUCUGUUUUCUCUUCGACGUGAAAGUGAAUAAUAUGGCGGCAAGGUAGCCCAAAUUGCAUGAAAAAAGAACAACUGCAACCGCUUAAGUCUACUUUCAACUUGCAAAAGGCGAUAUGGACCCAGCAAAUUUACUCACCGCUGGAUGUUUUUCCUGUACCGCAAAUCGUAGAUCUUGAAUCCUUUGCUUCAGUUGCCUGUCGCUUAGUCGGAUGAGGACAAUGUUGAUCAGGCCUUUAAGAACCUUAUGGAAUCUCCUUGACUUCUGGAAAACCUCCUUAAUAGUGUGAUGAAACCUGUUGUGACGAUUGGUGGUAUUCUUUUCCAACGUACACAGAUCACGACGGCCAAGGUUAGUCCACUUCUCCGCGAUAUCAAACCAAUUGUCCUCAAAAUAGGAUGCAAUGGUUCCGUUACCUACAGGUACGCCUUAUUAUCGUCAAAAACAGCUUCCGUUCCAGCGUACAUGUUUUCUUCAAAUGGCUAUCAACUGCCUUAAGAACGUGGAAUUGACAAAGGAUGUGCUUUGCAUCGGGAAAAUGCCGUUCUAAAGCGGAUAUCUCGGCGCAAUCCUUAUCGACAUGCGGAAAUGGCUUCCGUUGUCUCUUCUUUCAGGAAGAACAACGCCACUGGUUGUCCAGAGCCAUUGUUGUCUUCAAUAAGCAAGUGGUAAAGGGCAAAGCCUGCUUGUGUUGUCCUAUACGUCCCAUUCAGCUGGAGAACUUUUCCGUACUUUUCGUACAACUUGCGCUGCCUCUCCAUCUGAACGAAAAUAGCAGCAACCUCUCCAUCAGCAUCAUGGAGAACGUUGACGACAUUAUUUUCGUCUUUCUGGAGAACUUCAAGGAACUUCACAGUAUCCCUCCAUUCGUCUUCGGACUUCCCUGUAAUAAUAGUAAAUAAGGUAUACUGCAU
rnacentral:lncRNA from 1 species